rnacentral:tRNA from 1 species
GCCUGGGUGGCUCAGUGGGUUAAGUGUCUGACUUCGGCUCAGGUCAUGACCUCACGGUUUGUGGGUUCGAGCCCCACGUGGGGCU